GGAAGCGUGGCUGAGUGGUUUAAGGCACUUGUCUUGAAAACAAGGGACUAUGAAAGUGGUCCGUGAGUUCGAAUCUCACCGCUUCCG
rnacentral:tRNA from 2 species